AGGCUUUCGGGUCGUAAAACUCUGUUGUUAGGGAAGAACAAGUACGAGAGUAACUGCUCGUACCUUGACGGUACCUAACCAGAAAGCCACGGCUAACUACGUGCCAGCAGCCGCGGUAAUACGUAGGUGGCAAGCGUUAUCCGGAAUUAUUGGGCGUAAAGCGCGCGCAGGCGGUUUCUUAAGUCUGAUGUGAAAGCCCACGGCUCAACCGUGGAGGGUCAUUGGAAACUGGGGAACUUGAGUGCAGAAGAGAAAAGCGGAAUUCCACGUGUAGCGGUGAAAUGCGUAGAGAUGUGGAGGAACACCAGUGGCGAAGGCGGCUUUUUGGUCUGUAACUGACGCUGAGGCGCGAAAGCGUGGGGAGCAAACAGGAUUAGAUACCCUGGUAGUCCACGCCGUAAACGAUGAGUGCUAAGUGUUAGAGGGUUUCCGCCCUUUAGUGCUGCAGCUAACGCAUUAAGCACUCCGCCUGGGGAGUACGGUCGCAAGACUGAAACUCAAAGGAAUUGACGGGGGCCCGCACAAGC
rnacentral:rRNA from 2 species